rnacentral:rRNA from 1 species
CCUACGGGAGGCAGCAGUGGGGAAUCUUGCGCAAUGGGCGAAAGCCUGACGCAGCAACGCCGCGUGCGGGAAGAAGGCUUUCGGGCUGUAAACCGCUUUCAGCAGGAACGAAAAUGACGGUACCUGCAGAAGAAGGAGCGGCCAACUAUGUGCCAGCAGCCGCGGUGAUACAUAGGCUUCAAGCGUUGUCCGGAUUUAUUGGGCGUAAAGAGUUCGUAGGCGGUCAAGUAAGUCGGGUGUGAAAAUUCUGGGCUCAACCCAGAGACGCCACCCGAUACUGCUUAACUUGAGUUCGAUAGGGGAGUGGGGAAUUCCUAGUGUAGCGGUGAAAUGCGCAGAUAUUAGGAGGAACACCGGUGGCGAAGGCGCCACUCUGGAUCGAUACUGACGCUGAGGAACGAAAGCAUGGGUAGCAAACAGGAUUAGAUACCCUGGUAGUCCAUGCCGUAAACGGUGGGCACUAGGUGUGGGUUUCUAUUAACGAAAUCCGCGCCGUCGCUAACGCAUUAAGUGCCCCGCCUGGGGAAUCGGUCGCAAGCUUAAAACNCAANANAUGAGCGNGAGAGNGCGAGCGACGACGAGGAGAGG